rnacentral:rRNA from 1 species
GACAGAGGGUGCAAACGUUGUUCGUAAUUACUGGGCGUAAAGCGCGUGUAGGCGGCCCUGCAAGUCGGGUGUGAAAUCCCACGGCUCAACCGUGGAAGUGCAUUCGAAACUGCAGGGCUAGAGUCCUGGAGAGGAAGGUGGAAUGCUUGGUGUAGAGGUGAAAUUCGUAGAUAUCAAGCGGAACACCGGUGGCGAAGGCGGCCUUCUGGACAGUGACUGACGCUGAGACGCGAAAGCGUGGGGAGCAAACAGG